AUGGGCCGGGGCCUCGGCAAUGAUCGUAUGCUCUUCUUGGCCAACUUGAUCCGUUCCACUAAAGCAGAGGUAACUUUUGUCUCAGAAAUUAAGUCUUCCAAAGUCUAUUCUGUUUAUCUUGUUAAUAGAUUUGAUGUUACUAAUGUCCUUGUAGUUCCCUCUAGAGGUGCUUCGGGAGGUCUCUGGCUUAUGUGGACUGAUGAUCUGAAUAUUACUGUUCAUAGUGCUACUUUCCACCAUAUAUUAGCUAAUGUAGUUCAUCCUGCUUCUGGGGUCCAAUUUUGUUUGAUUUGUACUAGCAAACAUCAAGCAACAAAGGAGUCAACAUGGAACCAUUGCAAUUGA
rnacentral:rRNA from 1 species